AUUGAACGCUGGCGGCAGGCUUAACACAUGCAAGUCGAGCGAGCGGCGGACUGGCGGGUAAUGUCUUUGAACCUGACUGAUGGAGGGGUAUAACUAAUGGAAACGGUAGCUACUACCGCCUACCAUCCUAUGUGUCCAGGUGGGAUUAGCUAGUAGGUGGGGUAAAGGCUCACCAAGGGGACGCACCCUAGCUGGUCUGAGAGGAUGACCAGCCACACUGGAACGGAGACACGGUCCAGACUCCUACGGGAGGCAGCAGUGGGGAAUAUUGCACAAUGGGCGCAAGCCUGAUGCAGCCAUGCCGCGUGUGUGAAGAAGGCCUUCGGGUUGUAAAGCACUUUCAGCGAGGAGGCGUUACUCGCAGAAGAAGCACCGGCUAACUCCGUGCCAGCAGCCGCGGUAAUUC
rnacentral:rRNA from 1 species